CCUACGGGAGGCAGCAGUGGGGAAUAUUGCACAAUGGGGGAAACCCUGAUGCAGCGACGCCGCGUGAGUGAAGAAGUAUUUCGGUAUGUAAAGCUCUAUCAGCAGGGAAGAAAAUGACGGUUACUGAUUAAGAAGCCCCGGCUAACUACGUGCCAGCAGCCGCGGUAAUACGUAGGGGGCAAGCGUUAUCCGGAUUUACUGGGGGUAAAGGGAGCGUAGACGGAUUGGCAAGUCUGAAGUGAAAGGCCGGGGCUCAACCCCGGGACUGCUUUGGAAACGGUGUAGCUAGAGUACAGGAGAGGUAAGCGGAAUUCCUAGUGUAGCGGUGAAAUGCGUAGAUAUUAGGAGGAACACCAGUGGCGAAGGCGGCCUACUGGACUGUAACUGACGUUGAGGCUCGAAAGCGUGGGGAGCAAACAGGAUUAGAUACCCGAGUAGUC
rnacentral:rRNA from 1 species